rnacentral:sRNA from 1 species
AUCCUGAAUUACGGGAAUGUCGACUAGGA